UACGUAGGGGGCAAGCGUUGUCCGGAAUCAUUGGGCGUAAAGCGCGCGUAGGCGGCCCGGUAAGUCCGUUGUGAAAGUCAAAGGCUCAACCUUUGAAUGCCGAUGGAUACUGCCGGGCUGGAGUCCGGAAGAGGCGAGUGGAAUUCCUGGUGUAGCGGUGGAAUGCGCAGAUAUCAGGAGGAACACCGAUAGCGAAGGCAGCUCGCUGGGACGGUACUGACGCUGAGGCGCGAAAGCGUGGGGAGCGAACGGG
rnacentral:rRNA from 1 species